UACAUUUAAACUCAGUUUUUCACAACUCCUGACAUUUAAUAUGUAGGUACAUUUUAGGUUCUGAAUGAAAGGUGAAUAUACGUCUUUUCAGGAAGUUUAAGAUAUUUAUAUUCCUGAUGUUGAAAAUACGUCUUUCCGGACUUUGAAAUCUGGUUCAUUUUUUGGUUCUGAAUGAAUGUUGAAAAGACUUUCUCUACUUGUUUUACUGUAAUGUAUUGCAGUUUGCUGUGCUCUACUGCAGUGGUUCUCAAACCUCUUCUCAGGGACCCCGUGACGUUUCACAAUUUUGCUGUAGAUCUGAUCUAGCUAUUCAAGAGCUUGAGGAUUAGUUGACAAGUUGAAUUGGGUGUGCUAGCUAUUAAAUAGAUUAAUUACAUGGAAUGGUCUGGGUUCCCCAUGGAGAGGUUUUAAAACCAUUACUCUACUGUACUGUGCUGUUCAAACUUGUGAAACAUAGAUGUCUAGGAUUGUUUCAGUUUUGGUCAAGUCUCGAUCGGACCUAAUCUGAAUCAAUCCUAGAUGUUUAUGUUUGUGCCAAAUCAAGGUUGGUCCGGAUCAGACUGGACCAAAUCUUAACCAAUUUUAGAGGUCUAUGUUUGGACCAGACCUCUGUGGACUUUGAAAUAAAGCCAAAUCAAGGCCAAUCAAGGCCAGAUGCAAUGCCUUAGACCACUGCGCCACUCGGGAGUCCCCCUAACCCUAACUUUAAACCUUAUAGCUAACCCUUCCCCUAACAUAACCCUAACCUUAACCAUUUAACCCAACUGUCACGUCUACACCCGCUCCCCCUCUCCAGUGCUCGACAUAACCGGUCCUGGAAACCCAUCAUUAUGCACACCUGGAAAUCCUUAUUACGCACACCUGCGCCACUUUAUGAAGUACACCUGGACUCCAUCGCUAUCCUAAUUACUCCCCCUUUAUCUAGCACUCCCUAGCAUCACUCUUCAGGCAGUAUUGGUUUUGUUUCCUUGUCCUUUGCCAUCACCAUAACCAGCUGGCAAAACUGGGAACAGCUAUGGAUGAGGUCCUCCGCAUUCUUCAAGGUUUUGACAUUUCCGGAGUGGCAUCACCUCCAACAGGUGGAGGAUUCUCUUUCACAUGUCGACCAGCCCAGCGAGCUAGCACCCCAGACCAUCCAACAGUCCGCCAAGGUCCAUGAUGCCCAUUUGUCACUCCCAGGCAAAUAUGACGGGUCUCCAUACAAAUGACGUUGCUUCCUACUCCAGUGCUCCCUAUAUUUCACUCAUCAGAUGUGAGCCCCCACCACCGAGAGGUCCAAGGUUGCCACGGUUAUUUCCCUGCAUUGGAGUGGGCUAUGGCCAUCUGGGAGAGAGGAGGAGGAGCUGAGUUCCUGUGAGGGAUUCAUGGCUUUGUUCAGGGGGUCUUCGACCAUCCACCGGAGGACAGAGAGCAGGGUGAGUACCUACUCCAACUACGACAGGAUGGCCAGACAACGACGGAGUAUGCUCUUCGGACAGUGGCAGCAUCCAGCGGAUGGAAUGAGCCGGCGCUCUGCACACUAUUCUGUCUGGAUAACCUUCUUCGGGAGCAUUGGCACCCCCAUCGCCUCUCUCCCUCCUUCGUUGACCGUCAGAGCCUGAACCCAUGGAGGUAGGGGCCACACCUCCCCGCAGCUGAGUGAGGCUGUUGUAGACAGUUUGGGCCCUGCUCCUAUUGUGGCCAGGAGGGGCACCAGCUUCAACAGCGUCCGGGAACGUCACAUCCCGGAAUCCACGAGAGCAGAGGGACGGCCCCGUGAUCAUCCGUCUCCUGGGUUAGGCGUCGCUGACGCACUGUUCCAGCAGGUCUUCCGGCACUAUGGCCUUCUGGAGGAUAUCGUCUCUGAUCGUGGUACCAAUUCACAUCACGUGUAUGGAAGGCUUUCAUGGAAAAGCUGGGGGUCACGGUCAGCCUCACUCCCGGGUACCAUCCUCAAUAUAACGGGCAGGUGAAGAGGAUGACCUAGGAGCUGGGGAGGUUCCCUAGGAGUCACUCCCAGGACCGGCAGGGGGAGUGGGCCCGAUUCCUUCCUUGGGCUGAAUAUGCCCAGAAUUACUUGCGACACUCCACCACCGAGCUGACUCCAUUCAAGUGUGUUCUGGACUACCAGCCAGACCGAAGCUCCUGUGGUGGUUGAGUGUUUUAGGUACGCAGAAGAGGCUAGUGGUUCUUGGUUUCUUGGCUGAUGUCAUCCCCCAUGACACUCCUCAGCCUCCCUUGGACAUUGAGGGGAGCCCUGCCUAUGCCAUCAGAUCACUCCUGGACGCCGAUGUUGUGGGGGUCACUCACACCAGUACCUGGUGGAUUGGGAGGGCUACGGUCCAGAGGAGCGGUGCUGGGUUCUUGUGAACAACUUUCUAGAUCCUAACAUCAUCUGCAAAUUCCACCUGCUUCAGGCCUCUAGUGGAUUCUGAUGUGGCAGGACAUUUUAUUGACUAGGCCCUUGCCUCCUCCCUGCAUGUCACCUCAUACCCGCUCUCCUCCCAGUUCUUGGUCCAAAUUCCACCUGCUUCAUCCGGACCAGCCCAUUCCUCGCCCCCGGGGCCGUCCUCCUGGCUGGCGUCAUUCUGUCUAUUGGCCCUACCCACCCCUACGGGAGGGCAGCUCCCUCUCAGCCCAGUCCAACUCUUCCUCUGUCCUGGCAACCCAAUGGUGGAACCAGCUUCUUCCUGAAGCUAGGACAGAAGAGUCCCUGCCCAUCCUUUGAAAACAUCUGAAAACCUACCACUUCAAACAGUAUCUUAAAUAAUCCUCCUAUGCCUGUGUUAUGUGGCUGUCCCACCUAGCUAUCUUAAGACGAAUGCACUAACUGUAAGUCGCCUGGACAAGAGCAUCUGCUAAUUGACUAAAAGGUAUAUAUAUUUUUUUAUAAAGUGUUGUACUUUUUGUACAACAAAAUUUCUAUAUUAAGAUAUUUUUAGAAGGGAUUCUCUCACCAUGGGUGCUCAGCCAGCUUACCACUUACAGCGCAGUCAGUUUAGCUCAUCUGAUGAUGAGUAGAUCACCUCUAUCCUUUCAGUGGUUUUAAAAGGAUUUAAUUUAACGUAACAGUGUUUACUUAAACCGUGUUGACAUCACAUUACGUAUAUUUAUAGACUAUGUAUACAGCUGAAACAGAAUGGGCAAAGGUAUCCAAUGAAAGUCACAUCGGUGCAGUGUAACAUAUAUCAAGUCACUGCAGUAUAACUGUAAAUGCCUCAUCUGUGUUGAAACAUGGCCUGGAAGUGUUUUCCAAUCCCAAGGCUCAAAGUGGUUUGAGAUUUGUGAUUAAUAAAUUCAUUAUGUGUUCUUGAGUAAAAAAUUAAAUGUGCAGAUGUUGUGUUUGUGUUUAACCAUCAUGCCAACAAUAUGCAUGCCAAAGAUCGGCAUUGGUGAAAAACAUCUGGAAAUUAAAACACAUUCAUUGUAUUGUUGAAACUUUGCAUUGCUAUAUCUGCUCU